rnacentral:tRNA from 1 species
UGGCCGUUAGCUCAGUCGGUAGAGCAGUUCGCUUUUAACGAAUUGGUCCUGCGUUCGAGUCGCAGACGGCCCACCA